ACGUCCGAUAGGAGAAAGAUUUAUCGGAGUUGGAUGAGCCCGCGUUGGAUUAGCUAGUUGGUGGGGUAAUGGCCUACCAAGGCGACGAUCCAUAGCUGGUCUGAGAGGAUGAUCAGCCACACUGGGACUGAGACACGGCCCAGACUMCUACGGGAGGCAGCAGUGGGGAAUAUUGGACAAUGGGCGCAAGCCUGAUCCAGCCAUGCCGCGUGAGUGAUGAAGGCCCUAGGGUUGUAAAGCUCUUUCACCGGUGAAG
rnacentral:rRNA from 1 species